rnacentral:lncRNA from 1 species
AGAUGGGCUCGGGGGUCCCUGGCUGAACCUUGAGCCGCGGGUCCGUCCCACGUUCCCUGCGCUUCUGCAAUCUGACAACUAGAUCCUGGGCCUGCCUGAAAUCUGCUAUUUACCUGUCCAGCAAAAAAAGUAAAAAACAAAAACCUCUGCCCAAGCUGACCCAGCUCCUUUCCCAAAUGCUGCCCCCCCUCCACCCCCGUGUCCCAUCAGCACAGCCGGAGUGUGGCGUGCGGCACGCAGCCUUCAGUGCGGAGACAACUUCCCCUCCUAGGAGCCCUUGAAGGUAAUGAGCUGAUGGAAGGUGCCAGGCAGGUGGUACCACUCUGCCUCCUCCUUCAGGCCCCCUUCCCCACCCCGACCCCAUCUUCUCAGCACAUGAUUCCAGGGACAAACUAUGGAGCCAAAAAAAAAAAAAAAAAAAAUUGGUGGAGGGAUAGUAGGAGGCUAGAGAAACACUGACCCAAGUCCAGCAGCUCCUUGGACACUCCGGCUGCUGCUCCCCCAAAAUUGAUGGCCCACAUGCUGCUCCCCAAACCUAGAAACUACAGGGCCUGAGAUGAAGGAAGAUUUGGAAUGACUGGCUUCCCUGGAGUUAAUGAAGGGGACCUCAGGCAGUGGCCAGCCCACAUUAGCGCCCUCCCCAAGCACCCCAUCCCCAACCCCUCCUCAGCCUAAGCCCCAGAGCUGAGGGGUCAGAAGCCCUAGGGAAAGACCCCAGUGGGAGAAGCCAGCCUCUGCGUGUGCUCUCACCCCGUCCUCUGAGUCGCCCUGGCAAGUAGGAUGGAUAAAGGGCUGCCAGCCCCUAGGACCCAGCUCUCAAGUAGAGGGAUGCCAGUGGAGUCCUUGUUAGACCACAGAUAACCUAGAAGGCCACCUGCUCUGGAGUUAGCUCCGUCUUUCUUUACUGAAGAAACGUGGCUGAGGCUAAGAGGGAAGAAAGGAAGGUCCAGGAGAGUGUCGUAAGUGGAGCCUCAGAAACCACAGGUGGAUUGGCUUCUGCUCCGUGGGGUCUUGCGGACCCAUCUGGGUCUUUGCGGCCGUCUAGGUGCUUAGUGCCUAUUUGGUGAUGUUUUGGCCAUUUCUAAGGGAAGGGGUGAGCCAGCUGAUGGGUGGGAGGGUCUGAGGCUUGAUGCCAGUGAAUACUGUCAAGUGGAGCAUGUGGUUUGUGGGGUUCAGAGGGAAGGAAGGGUGGGGCCAAACGGACGGUUGUCUCCUGGACUGGAUUUGCGUUCUGGCCUUACUGGCGGUGGGUGGCCGGCAGGCUGUGGUGGCCAGCUGGCCUUGUCCUCCUCACCCUGGCAGGUUCAACCCGCCCAAACACCAGAUUGUUGGAUGGAAGGAAGGGAAGGUGAGAUGAGCCCAGCCGCUGACAGGCGGAUUUUCCCGUGACCAGAGCUUUGGAAUUGCAGACACUCAUUUUUGAACAAGCUUGUGCUGGAGGAUUUGGGUUGUGCGAGUGCGUGUGUGUGAGGGGAGCAGACUUUCUUGGAAACUGGAGGAAGGAGAUGAGGAGGCUUAAGGAACUAUUGCUGAUGGGCUGUGGUUGAUGAAACGAGGGGCGUCGACCGGCUGGCCCCGGCUUUCGGCCUGGGGACUCUGGUGCUGGGGGCAGGAUGGGAUGCGGGGAGGGCUCUUGCUGGCCUGAUGAGUAGCUGCUGGGACAGAACGCAGAGAGAAGAGGGAAACUAGGUGUCCUGGGGCAGCCGAGAGGCACUUGUCAACGCCAGCCCAAGCGACGCUGCCAUGAGCAUUCCGGCCCCUGGCCCCGUACGCGCUUCUCUCCCGGGCUUUGUCUUCUCUUUCCGGUGUGUCUUAGAGAUUUCAGGUGGGGGAGCCUCAGCAUGGAGCAGGCCAGAGCUGUCCUUACCAAAUUGGAAAGGAAAGUGCAAGUGUUCCUUUCUUUAGCCAAAGAACCCUUCUAGGAGACACCCCCACGUGCGGACAGAACGGCUUCCUUUCUGGGCAAUAAUGACUUCAUCAGUGAGUGAUGCCAUCCCAUUUGUCUUUCUCUUUCCCCUCUCUCCUGACUUGGCUUUUCGUUUUGUCUGGAGUUUUUGUUGUCGUUGCUUUUUUUUCUUUCAAAACUGAGCUCAUCUUGUGAGAGGAGUCGAGGUCAGUCGCCCUAAAUACUGCUGCUCUUGAGAAGCACAGCACGGAUCUGGGGGCUUAGCUCAUCUCAUGUUUCCCAGGAGAGUCAGACCUUCUGCCCAGAGGUGCUUUGGGGUUCACUUGCACACUGGCGCCGGGCUUGGGGUGUGGGUACAUUUCCGCUUUGAUGCCUUAGACUCACUUCUGGUCUCUGGACUCAGCCGAGAACAGGAGAUGGCGAAAUGACAUGUAAAUGCAAUCGAGACCUCUCAAAGGCCCUUGGUGCCCUCGCUCCCUGGAGUGAGCCAUCCUAGGAGAGGCCUCUCCCAUCGUUCUUGCAACUUCCAGGAGUCCGAGAGGGCCAGCUCCAAACCAGUUCCUCCCGCAAGACUCAGUGCGCGCUUACAGAGCAGUGACCCUCCCGAGGGCGCCCUUGCUCCGGGUACCUGAACCAGAAAGGAGCUUCGUGAUGCCCCAGCCUGACUCCCCCACGCCUCUGAGACACCCCCACCCCCAGACUCAGAGCCCUCGCCUCAGAGCCUUCUGUUGACCAUCUCUUUGUUAAAACUUGCAGUGUCCCUCGAGUCCUAGCCAACGUUUGUUCAGUGCUUUCAGCAGGUCAGGCUCAUACCUGGCCCUCUAUGAGCGUGACCUCAAGGAGCCCACAGGCACCCCAUUUGCAGCACCCCCCUUUACAGUUGAUGAGCAAGUUGACUGACCCUCUAAGAAAGUAGCCUGUGUUCAAGGAAAGAAAAUACAACAGUGAUCCGAAAUCCCCAAGUUCUAGUGAAAUUUUUUGUUAAUCAGACCCUUUCCUGAAAUAGGAUUUUGUUUCACUUAUUUAACCAUGCUCCCACUUCCAAUGUGCCAAACGUGUUUAUCCUGUUUUCACUCCGUCUUUGUAAUAAGCCCUGUGACAUCGGCAGUACUAGUCCCUUUACAGGUGAGGCGCCUGGCUCCGCAAGCUGGUAACCCGGGUCACACAGCUAGUAGGGGAGCCGGGCCUUGAACCCGGGUCUGCUCAGCUCCAGAACCGAGCUCGCAGACGCCAGCCUCGGCUGUCUCCUUGGCUGUUUGUGCGAAGAAAAGCCUCGAAGGAACGUCCCCCUGCACCACCCCCGCCCCGUGCGUGGAACCCAGCAGAAGGUCUGUGUGAAGGGGGCGUUUGCAUCAGAUCCAAGCAGCAGGAGCAGGAUUAGUUUGACUUUUAGAGAAAACUCUUAAGCGUGUUUCUUUUGGCUCUUCCUUUCCAGUGUACCAGCUAGCUUUCGUAGUGCUGCUACAACUAACUCUUGUAAGAGGGAGGGAAAAAAGUGUUCUUUUCUUCUUUAAAAAAAAAAUAAUUUUUUUCUUGCUUGUAGUUAAUUCUAUAAAGGCAAUACUAAAGGUAUAUAUUUUUUUCAAAAUGCUAUUUUUUACUGCACUGAGAAAUAUCAUGACACUUCUGGUCUCUGUCAUCAUCUACUCUUUCGGCUCUGGGUAGACCCAGGUGCGGGAUUCACACCAAAUUUGUAAAUAUUGUGUGUGGGUCUGGUGUCCAGGAACUGUUUUCUUUGUGUAAAAAAAAAACAAAAACAAAAACAAAAAAAGGAGGAGAAAGACAAGAUGACUUUUAGAAAGAGGAACAAAAUAAGGUUGUCUUUUGAGAUAACCUCAGACGGAAGGUAGCGGUUUUGUAAACUGAGAAAAACUAGGCAACUUUCAGGAUAUCAGGAAGGAGAGUGUCUUGCCAAGUUUUGAGGUUACUAGUAAUACAGAAGCAUUUUUAUGUUGGUUGAAAGGUGGCAAGAAUUUAGAAAUACUUUAGAUUUUUAAUUUUUUAGGAAACUAUUCUUGCUUUAAGAAACAUCUCAGUUGUUUUGGGUGGGUUUUUUGUUUUCUUUUUAAUUUCAGAAACUUCUUUAUUGACUGGCUCCAGGCUUGUUUGCCUAAAUGCUUAGGUAGUUUACACAAGUUCUAGAACCUUCUAGAACUUUAAUUCCAUUGGAAGCAAACCCAACUAAUCAGAAUUGGUUGGUUUCAAUAGGUAUUCUGGAAUUCUGACAGAGCACCUAAAGAUCUUUCUAAAGAAGGUUUUAGAUACAUUAUCUUACACAAACUGUGACCUGAUGGCAAUAAUUACCUCAAAUGUGGGCAUUCAUCCUGGUUUUAGGCUUUUUUGAAAUCAUGUAGCCAGCUUGAUCUUGGGAUUUAAAAGACUUAGGAACUCUGCAUGGGCUGAAAAUAACAAUUCACUCAUACGCUGGUCAUCGUUGCUUAAGUGAAUUCUGAAAAUAGCUCAUCUUUACCACAAAAAUUAAACCAAGGAAGAGAUUAUUCUCUGUCUUGUAAUCAAAUGUGAUUUUCAAAAGCACAUGUUAAGGAUAUAUGUUUUUAGCUACUGUCAAAUGCUCUGAGCCUUCUAAGAUCUCCAGAGAGUCACAUUUUCAGUAAUUGACUGUGGAUACUUCAGCAUCUUUCUGGCUACAUUUUAUAGUUCACGUGUUUCAUAGUUUACAUUUAAACUGGUACUUUUUAAAGAAAGUUUUUGUUUUUAACUGACAUCUUCAAACCCCAGCCGUUGCCUCUCUAAUCGGAGGCCAUGUCCCCCCAAGGCAGGUGCGAUCUGCCCAUAUGCUGUGUGAGUCCACCGAGAGCAUCUGCCUCCAGAUGGGUUUCCAUGCAAACGAGAGCAGAUGUGAAGGGAUUUCCGGGGGGGAGGGAGGGGGCAGGAAGGGGUGGGUCCACAGCCUGGGCCAGAUGCGAAGAGCUCAUGAUGCUGUGUUGUAUCCAUACGGGUCGUCAGGGCCUUCUCUUGGACAUCUUGGAAGAGACAGAGGAUAGAUACCCGGUUCGUUGAUUUCGUCUUGAUUUGAAUGUUUAAUUUAUUAAUCCAUCUACUGGCUUCCAGUCACCAGGCAGUAGAGGACACUGGGGUUCAGGUGGCCCCAAAGGUACAGCUGCUAUUUCCAGGCCCCCAGCCGCAUGCAGAUUGGUGAUGUGCAGGGGAGAGUCGUGCCCCACCCCCGUGCCGAUAUUCACUGGUUGGGUUUCCAUGUGUCUGCUGUCACUCCUUUCUCCUUCAAAAUAAGUGUCAAAGGAUGUGUCUACUUUUUUUUUUUUUUUUUUCCACUCUUCGUUUUGAAGCCUGGGUCAUUAGGAGAUGGGGGCCUAGAUUUUUUUCCUAGAGGUUGUAAGUGCUGCUGAGCAGGAGGAGGGGGUGGCUGUGGGGGGAGGGGCAGUGAGACCCCCCCCCCCCAGGUAGAGGUCAUGGUUGAGAGUGGACCCCUCCUUAUGCAGGAAGGUACCAGUUUCCCUAAGAGUUUUGGUUCAUUUCUUCUUUUCUCUUGUGCCACAGCCUUAGCACAGAGGACCUGCUGUGAUCUGAAUCACAUUCCUUUAGCAGAUGACACCCUGAAAACUGCAAAACCCUCCCGGGACCAGGGAACUGGUUUUUGUUUGUAAUGCAUUUGCUCUUCCCUUGGGAACUCUGUCGAUAGUAUGUUCUUAAUACAGGUUUUGGUUAGAAACGUCAUUGUAAAAUAUUUUUCAUCUUGCCACUCUGAAUUGUACUCCUGCUUUCCUCUGUGUGGUUUUUCUUUUUUCCUUUGCUUUGAUUAACCAAAUGAAUUUUAUGUCAUUGUCUUUGGGCUAUAAAUUAUAUUUUUAAAAAAUGGAAGUACAGAAAUGGGCUUUUUUUUUUUUUUUUUAAGUAAAUAUGCUGUAUCUGAAAAAGGGCUCUUCCUUCACUCGUAGUUUGCUUCCAGCCAGCCUCCACACGAGCCUCCUGGCACUCCCUCCCCCUUCUUGUUUUGGGUCUUGUCCCCGUGGCCACCUUGGCCUCUCCCCUGCUGUCACCCCAGCCCCACACCCAGGCACCCAGGACUCCCAGGAAGCUCUCAUGAGCCAGGAAGAAGGACCCACUUAGCCUCGUGAGUGGUGGUCUUGCCUCCCUGUCAGAUAUUCACCUGCUUGGUUGAAGGGGCAAUAGAUUUUUUUUUAGUAUUAUUGUUGUUGUUGUUGUUGUUAUUAUUAUUAUUAUUUUAAUAGUUUGGCUCAGGUUAUAAGGAAGAACUUGGGAAAUGGAAAGUGACUUGACCAUGCCCAUCCUUCGUAGCUUUCUGUGACUUCUGAAUGGCACCUAAUGUGUCCCCCCCGCACACACUCCCUCCUCCCUUCCUGCAGGUACUCUUGUUGGCUGCCUCCACCCACUCUCGCUCCCUCUCACUUCUCACCCCAUUCACUGUUGUGUUCCUGCUCAUUUAAAGCUUCCUCCCGUGGCUUUUCCAGGGCACAAUCAUUUCUGGCCCCCAGAGCAUCUCCUCAUCCUCUCUGUGUGCAUUUUUUUAACCAAAUGAAGUAGACCAGGAAGUCAUACUCUGGGGCAGCGGAAGUUCUAGUGUAGUAGAAUCACUGUAUAGAUGUAGAUGUUGAUAUAUAUGUUUGUGUAUAUAUAUAUCAAGCCAAAUUUCUGAUAGGAAAAGUAUAGCUUUACAGAUGAGGAGGAAGAGGCGAUUUGAAAAGCCUGAGUCAGUGUUGGUUGGCAUAUUAGAGGAGCCCUGGACCACAGCCCAGGCUGCAUCUUCGCACGUGGGCCCAAGGCAGGGCGCCCGGCCCCCCGCCACCACCUCGCCACUGCGGAGGCAAGAGGCCCUGCAGGGUGCCACUGCUCUCUCUGGGUCCCCAGCGACAAGGGCAUAGACGAGUGAGGGGAGGCAACACAUCAGGAUGACUGGAAUUUUCCAUCCCGUUUUGCUUCGACCGUGGGUAUUGAGCGGCAGCCUCUGAUAUUCUAUCCCAUUUCCAAAAAUGGUAUCCAUUAGGCCGGAAAGAGAACGGAUCCGUAGAAAUGUUGACCUUGCAGCUGCCCACGAAUUCAGGACACUCUGGACAGGAAGACACACUCCCCAGAACGAGAGCAGGGAAGAGGGGACCGGGGGAGGCUCGGUCCCCGGUCCAAGGAACGUAGCUCCUCCCCAGGGUCGUCUCGCCCAGACCUUCUCUACCAGGUCCCUCCGCUCAGUUACCCUCGGGAAGCCCUGCUCUGUUGUGUUCCUUCACUGUACGGUUUCUGUAAUAAAAAGUGUUAAUCCAUGUUAAUCCUUGUGAAAACUAUUGCGUGCAACAGUAUUUUCUCGUGUACCUCUUUUUCCUAUGUGAAUUGUCCCUCUUUUCUUUUUUUAUUUAUAAAUGUCUACUUUUUUUAAAAGACAAACCAAUGUGUUGUAGGCCUAUAUGUAACCUAUUCCUUAGUCUCAUAUUAUAGGUAUGUUAUAAGAAUGGAUAUUUUACUUGGCUUUAGAAUGUUUUACAAGAAAAAUAAUUCUUAUCUGAUCAAGUCCUUGCUACUAAAAUGCUUGUGUUUUUCAUCAUGACGUCGUGUGCUUCUAAAUUAAUGAUCAUUUUCGUUGUAGAAAAAUGGAGUGAAUUUAUAUUAGUCUUGGAAACUAAUAAUAGCAUUGUAAAUUUAUGAGAUGAUUUUAACAGAAAAAAAAUUAUAGAAGAAUAUAGUUAUUUUAAUUGUAAUAUUACUAACUGUAGGGUGAGAAAGGGGGGUCCCGUCGUGUGAACUAUGUUAUAGCUUGUUACUCACAGUUUCUUUUUGAUCAUUUUUUCGGUCUCUGAGGUGAAACGAGUUAUUAAUUAAAAUUCGUAAACUCACAUAUGCAUAUUGUAUAUGUGUAGAAAUGUAAUCACACUCUGUCUUGGAAUUACAUUAAACUGUUUGGAAUCACUG